rnacentral:lncRNA from 1 species
GUUACUCUUCAUCUUCUUCAAUGCUACUGUCUUCUCCCUCCUCUCUUUUUCAACAAAAUUCCGCCACCGCGCCGUCGUGACAGCCCAUCGUUAGGCAACAGACUGAAGUUCCAUCUUCUUCUUUACACAAUAUCACUGUUCAUCUUCCUUAUUAGAUCAUUCACUGCAAAUUGCAAAUAAAAACUAUCUAAGAAAACUUCAACAAAGUGUUGAACAACCAAUUCAACCUCUCGCCUUCUUGCUGCCA